AUUGGUACCCUAACACUAGCAUUGACUUGUCUAUAUAAUGCAGUAAGUGCUACUUGUUGGGGUAGUUUGA
rfam:Salmo salar isolate Sally breed double haploid chromosome ssa06, whole genome shotgun sequence.